UCAAAUCUAUGUUCUGGUUAAAUGAUAGUCGCACCAUAUUCUCCGACAAAAGAACAACACCAUUCUCAGUGUGGCAAACCUCACCAUCGUAGUAAAUAACAACACUAAUACGUUCACUCAUUUUGAAACUCUAACUUUCUUAGCCUCUCUAAAUUGUUUCUGCUAUGACUUAUGCAUUCUAAGAACAUUUUCUGCCUAUUUUAUAGCCUCAGCCCAAACUUGCUACUGUAGCA
rnacentral:lncRNA from 1 species